rnacentral:misc_RNA from 1 species
UUUCCGUAGGUGAACCUGCGGAAGGAUCAUUAUUGUAUAACCGAGGUGCGAGGGCCGUCGCUGACCCGAAAGGUCGUGCAAGCCAGAUUGCCACAACACACAUCCAUCUCACCCCUUUGUGCACCACCGCGUGGGUCACCCUUUGGCUUGUUCGGAGUGGGGCUUACGUUUUCACACAAACUUUGUAUGCAGUGUAGAAUAUAUUUUUUGUUUUUGCGUACACGCAAUCAAUACAACUUUCAACAACGGAUCUCUUGGCUCUC